rnacentral:rRNA from 1 species
ACACUCCUACGGGAGGCAGCAGUGGGGAAUUUUGGACAAUGGGCGAAAGCCUGAUCCAGCAAUGCCGCGUGAGUGAAGAAGGCCUUCGGGUUGUAAAGCUCUUUUGUCAGGGAAGAAACGGUGAAAGCUAAUAUCUUUUGCUAAUGACGGUACCUGAAGAAUAAGCACCGGCUAACUACGUGCCAGCAGCCGCGGUAAUACGUAGGGUGCAAGCGUUAAUCGGAAUUACUGGGCGUAAAGCGUGCGCAGGCGGUUUUGUAAGUCUGAUGUGAAAUCCCCGGGCUCAACCUGGGAAUUGCAUUGGAGACUGCAAGGCUAGAAUCUGGCAGAGGGGGUUAGAAUUCCACGUGUAGCAGUGAAAUGCGUAGAUAUGUGGAGGAACACCGAUGGCGAAGGCAGCCCCCUGGGUCAAGAUUGACGCUCAUGCACGAAAGCGUGGGGAGCAAACAGGAUUAGAAACCCCUGUAGUCCCAUGA